ACACUUCCCUGGCAGGGGAGAUACCGUGAUUAUGAAGGUGGUUUUCCCAGAGUGAAGCUUAUCCAUUGCACUCUGGAUGUGCUGACCCUUGCGAUUUCCCCAAAUUUGGGGAACUGGACUGCAUAAUUUGUGGUAGUGGGGACUGCAUUUGUGCUCUCCCCU